rnacentral:rRNA from 1 species
UGGGGAAUAUUGGACAAUGGGCGCAAGCCUGAUCCAGCAAUGCCGCGUGAGUGAUGAAGGCCUUCGGGUUGUAAAGCUCUUUCGCACGCGACGAUGAUGACGGUAGCGUGAGAAGAAGCCCCGGCUAACUUCGUGCCAGCAGCCGCGGUAAUACGAAGGGGGCUAGCGUUGUUCGGAAUUACUGGGCGUAAAGGGCGCGUAGGCGGUGUGUCAAGUCAGGCGUGAAAGCCCCGGGCUCAACCUGGGAACCGCGCUUGAGACUGGCACGCUAGAGUUCGGGAGAGGAUGGUGGAAUUCCCAGUGUAGAGGUGAAAUUCGUAGAUAUUGGGAAGAACACCGAUGGCGAAGGCAGCCAUCUGGACCGACACUGACGCUGAGGCGCGAAAGCGUGGGGAGCAAACA